CAACAAUUGGUGUACCGGCUUUCUUACAUACAUACUGCCUAGAUCUGAUAUCAUUCGUAUUAGCAUGUUUAUGACUAGUUGCAAUUCUAAUCUCAAAUCCAUUUUUGCGAGCAUAUGAUCUAUAAAAAUAUUCAACCUCUUCCAACGUACAAAAUAAUUGACCAACGUACGGAACAAUAUCAGAUUUAUUACUUUCAACUUCACUGACAAAUUCAGAUGUAUUAUAUGACAUUUUGAAAAACUUACUUGUGAAUAAUAGUGAUGAAUUUUGCUCGAUCAGAACUUCAACUUGAUUUUCUGAAGUGAAAGUGGGCAACCAGAUGAAACAAAUUAUGAGUAGAGGUGAAAAGAGAAAAUAAUAUCAGAGAACAAAUUCGGGUUCAUGGAGAAGAAGAUAACUUGAGAAAAUAGCAGCUUCCUAGACAAUAUUUAAAAGGUAAAACUAAUGUACUUUUUCCAUAUAAUCAAUGUCAGCUUUUUUCUAUUCCCAUAGUGCUUUAUUAUUAUGUUUGACCACUUAUUCACCAAACAGUCUUUAUAAUAAUAAUAAUAAUAAUGGUAAUAAAAUAAUAAAAAGUAUAUAAGCCGCUACUAUAUGUAACGACUUUAUACUCAAUUUGUAAUAAUAAUAGAAUAAUAAUAAUAAUCGAGUAAUUAUAAUAAAAAAAUGAGAACAUAUAAUUUGGGGGGAAAUGGAAUGUUUUAAGAUAUAUUCAAAUCCAAGGUAAAAUAUGACAGCUAGGCCCGUGGUGCUCGGGUGGUCAUUUGACGAAUGUUUGGAGCUUGAGGUCGCGGGUUCGAUUCUGUCCAGCAGCUAUGUAAUUUAUUUAUUACAAGCCGGUAUAGCCUGUACCGGCCGAGCGUUUAUUUUAAUAAUUUAUUAUUACAGCUGGUAAAGCCUGUACUGGCCGAGCUACGCCACAUCACCUUGGGAAAGACCAAAUAUUAGCCUUUUGACUACUUUUUCAGACACAAUGCCUCGGGAAAGAACACCUGCAAGCUUGUAAACUAAAAAGCUGAGACCCACACCUGCAAGUUUGAAUUUGGUUCGAAAUUUAUGAGUUUGUACUGGCUUGCAUGAGCUUAUUUAACCAUCUAUAACCAUCUAUAGUGAUCUAUUGAGAACACACGUUGAAGAGAGGAUCAAGUUUCGGAAGAGAGGAGCAAAAAACUUCAACAAGUUGAAGUGGCUGGAUUCCAUUUAUUAGAUUCUAAAGACACCGAACUUCAACACGUAAGUUUUUAUUUAUUGUUAUUUGUUCAGUUUUUAAUAGUUUCUGUUGUUGUUAUUAUUUUCUUAUAAUAGUAAAAUAAUAUUAUUACAUUAUAUAAAUGAAAAAACUUAUUACAAUGUACUCAAUCAAGCCACAUUUUUUUAUCACUGCAUGUUAUUACUGAAUUAAAGGGGAUAUAAUACCAUGCAUGUAUUUGUUUUUGUUGUCAUUAAUGCAUGUUAUCACUGCAUAUUAUGCAUGCAUGUUAUUACUGGAAAUUUUUGUUGUCAUUAAUGCAUGAUCACUUUAUAUUUUAUUAAAGAAUGAUAUUUAUUUUUAAUAUAUUAAUUAGACUAAUUGGACAUAUUUUUACAAAAAUAAGAAAAAAUAUUAAAGGGGAUAAUGCAUGUUAUUGUUACAUGCAUGUUAUUAUUACAUGCAUGUUGUUAAGUUUUUAAUGCAUGUUAGUGUGUAUUGUUAUUACUGUCAUUUUGCAGCAUGUUACUUUCAACUUCAUUUUGUCAUGCAUCUUAAUACUAAUAUGGAAUUGAUGUAUUUUUUUAGGUAAAAGAUGGAUAGUUGGGAAUAUGGGCCAAUUGAUCCAAGUGUUCUGCAUGAUCAACAAGAUCAUGUAUCAGAUGACAUAUAUCAUGGGAGAGAUAGN
rnacentral:lncRNA from 1 species